UAGAUACGCGAAGCUAUAACGGUACACAUGUUGCUAACGGACACUGUGAAUGCCGUGAAUUGUCAAAUAUAAAUAGUAACAAGAAGCGAACAAACGAGUCUAGUGAAUGGUGCAAAA